rnacentral:rRNA from 1 species
GAUGAACGCUGGCGGCGUGCCUAAUACAUGCAAGUCGAGCGAACAGACGAUGAGCUUGCUCCUCUGACGUUAGCGGCUGACGGGUGAGUACGCGUGGCUAACCUACCUAUAUGACUGGGGUGACUUCGGGAAAUCGGAUCUAAUACAUGAUAAUAUAUUGCACCGCAUGGUUCAAUAGUGAAAGACGGUUUUGCUCUCUCUUAUAGGUGGAUCGCCGCCGCAUUAGCUAGUUGGUAAGGUAACGGCUUACCAAGGCAACGAUGCGUAGCCGAUCUGAGAGGAUGAUCGGCCACACUGGAACUGAGACACGGUCCAGACUCCUACGGGAGGCAGCAGUAGGGAAUAUUCCGCAAUGGGCGAAAGCCUGACGCAGCAACGCCGCGUGAGUGAUGAAGGUCUUCGGAUCGUAAAACCCUGUUAUUAGGGAAGAAAAAAUGCGGAAGUAACUAUGCACGUCUUGACGGUACCUAAAGAGAAAGCCACGGCUAACUACGUG